AACACCUAUUUGAAUUUUCAGGAAUUCAGAUUUUAAAUUCAUUCAAAGAAUUUAGGGUAAGAAAGAGAUUAACAUAUCAGAUAUUGGCUCUUUCAUAAUAUUGCUGUCAUGAAACUUUGCUUUUACUGUUUUAAAUAUAUUAACUUAUUUUGCAACACUUUUAUCAUAUCAUGAAUUUCAAUACACAAAUGUGUUAGGAAGUCAUAUGAAUUGUUAAAAAUUUGCCCAUAGCAUACAAGAAAAGAAUACUAAUCAUAAUACAAUAUUCUAUAUUAUAUGAUGCUAAUCACUGUCUAAAUGUCUAUGGGAAAAUAAAUAUAUUCCAUCUGUUGGGAACAUAUAUGUUUUCCAGUUAAUGGGUUUACCAAAGAUAGGAGAAAAUGAGAUGAAUAAUGAAUAAUUUUCUCUUCUGCCAAAUGAAAAUACAAGAACAUUUUCAAUUCAUCUUUUCACUUCAUCUGUCAUUUUCAUGCCUUAUUGCAUCAAAUGCUCCACUCCUUCUCAGUCAUAUUUUACUUACAAAAUAUUGUCUAUAUCUUUCUGUAUUAACCCCAAAGCCCUGGCAUAUGCCCUGCUUCAAUGCUUGGCUACUAGGAUAAAAAUUUCCAGUGAAUCUUGUCUGAAUCCCGUCCUUCUGCCUUCUAACUCAUGUGUGAUAUCCAUUUGUUACCCUUCUAGAUACUGUGGCCAAUUCCCUGCUGUAAGUACCCAAAAACCUUUCUACCUUGAGGUGAUGGUGCAAAGUUACCUAACACUUUAUAAUAUACCCUUGUUCUAUUUUGUCUCUCUCCUCCUUUAAGCAUUCUGCCAACAUCAAAGCACAAAUGAGAAACUGAAUUGUUAUUAAAAUCAAUAUUGUUUGUAACUCCAAUGCUAUUUUUUAAUCAUAUUGUUAAUGGACCACUUCUAAAUCCAAUGAACAAUCAUCACCAUUUGGACAGUAAUUUGUAUUCAUUGCAAAAACAAAACAAAACAGAAAGGCGAAAAGGAAAGAGGAUGAUUUUUUUUACACAUAAAGCAUUUUUUUUUUUUGCAGUCAACUGCGAUAACAUGCUCAUCCCAGUGGAUAAACCAUGAAAGCCACUUGUAUGUGUGGAUAAGUGAGGGAAAGGUAUAGACACUGAUGAGGAUUUUGAACCAUCUGUACAAAUACAUUGUCUCUGCCUUUUUUCUAGGGCUAAGGGCAGGAAAUACAUGAGCCAUUGAAUGUGUAAAUUUUCCUCUCUUCAAGCCUCUAUUGAUGAUCUAGCAACCAAUAGCAUUAUCAAUCCAAAUUGAGUUCAAAUGUAAUUUUCUAUAUGAAUCAGACCAUUUGAAGGUCAAUUUCCAAAUUUCAGUUCAAUAUAAAAGGAGGAUAGUAAUGAUAAUAAAAAUUACAAAUAAUGAUCCAACAAUUAUGCAGCAUUUUCCAUGAAUUAUAUUAUUGAUUCUUUUUAUCAUUUUUAUCCAAAAACUUAGGUUUAUAUAUAUUAGCUUAUUCACAAUUAUCUUCUACAAGUAGAAGUAUUUUCAUUGGCUGAGUUAAUGAGCUGUUGAACAGUACCACAAACAGAGAACAUUUGAUUAUUUUUUUUUUCAAAUCUAGGAAUAUGAAGUUUACCAAAUAUAGGUGUAACCUGUAAGUAGGGGUAUUAAGUGGAUCGUUUUCUACACAGGAUGAUUUGUAUCCAAGAAGUUAAAAAUAUCAUAUCAACUUUAACAACACAUAAAUAUAAAUCUUAAUAAUAUCUUAAAUUCUCUAUCUUAUCAGAGGGGUAAACCAGACUAUUUUUUCUGACUUGUUAAUUGUUAAAUAUCUCUAUAUUAUGCAAGAUUUUACUUGACCAGGCAUGGUACCAAGAUCUCAAGACUGCAAGAUGCCCAGGAUGACCUUAAGCUUCUGUUCUCUUUUAGGAAACUGCAAAGCAAACACAGGUAUGACUGCCAGACAGAGAGAUGAGGGCAUAAGAGAGGCUUGCCAUCGGGGCAGGGAGGGGGGUCCACAUGUGAUCAAACACUCAGAGAACCCUGCCUGAGGGUGACGACUACUACCUGAGGGACAGGUAGUAGUUAAAUGGUGGCAGUGUGUAUUCCAGGUAGAGAGAGGACCCACUGUAAAGACUUUGUGGGUAACCAAUUAUUUGGGAUGGUUAGGUCAGAUUUGCUGAGCCUAUAGGAAUCCCACAACCAAAGUGAUCAUAAUGGUGGCUUAAUGUCUGAACUUAAUGUCUUAUGUGUGAGGUCACUGAAUGGAUAAAGGAAAUGGCUUUGACAUUCUGGUGCCUAUUGAAGUUUGGAGAAGGGCGAAUGGCUUGUCCCUGGAGGGACAAGUAUAGGUAGACAGUUGGAGCUACCAUUGGGGCAGUUACUGAUUGUGAAGGUUAUUGAAAUUCAAACUCUAACCUAACAGUUCUUAGAAAGGAAUUGAAGAUGUCUAGCAGCAUAACUGGAUGUAUAUUGAAGAAGGAUGAAUCUCUCGUAGAUGAUAGAGUGGAGGGACUCAUUCCAUGAAAAGGGAAGCCAUUGAGGCUUCUGCUGUGGUAUUCCAGGUGAGAGGAAAUAAGGGCUGGAUGGAUGCAGAGAUGCGGGAAGAGGAGGAACGUGUAGAACAGAAAUAUCAGGACUGUCAGGUUGGGAACUGAUACAGGCAGGGAAGGGAGAAGGAAGAAUUGAGAAUGCCCAGACUGCUGCCUGGGCUGGGGGUAUAGAAAGAGGGGUUUCAGAAGGCUGGAGGGAAGUGGACCCAGCCUGCACAUGCUGUGGGGUGGGGUGAAGCUGACAGAGCAGUCUCUCAUUCAGUUCUCGACCUUGAGACACAAACUAGUGGGUACCUGGUCAACUGUGGACGGUGGGAAUAACUGACUGCUGAAGGAAGUGCACAGAGCAGGAAGACUGGCAUUCAGAGAGUGAAUGGAGAAAGAAGAAUCCAGCAGCACCAGGAAAGGAAGUGGCAGGGGGAGGGAGGAAGGUCCGACUGUCCCAGAUGCACCACGUGGUUCUGACGUGUGUCUCUGCUCUGCUGUGUGCUCCAUUUCCUUCUUUCCUUGAGUUGCUCCGAAAGAAUGGACACCCUUCCUUCCACUGUGCACUCCCCAAAUCCGGUUAACAUUCUUGGUAAGGGUGGACCCUGUCUCUGAACACCAUCCAUUACAGUGUCUUGUGGUUCCUUUCCCUGAAGAAAGUUUAUUUCUUCUUAGUCUUGGGAAAUUAUUAAAAUCACCAACCAAUACUUUUUAAAGAAUAGUUCAUAGUUUAGAGAAAAUUUGAACAAAUAAAAAUACUUGGGAAGAGUUAUAUAUUUACCUAUGUAGGUCAAACCUUUGUUGAUCAAUAGGAGGCUUGUUCUAUACAAGUUUAUGUAGUAUUAACUCACACAGAUGUGGUUUUAUUCUUCAGAAUUUUUUUAAAUCAAAUGGUCCCAAACCAGAUUUUCUGGGUGUUAUAUGCUCUUUUAAUUUUCUUUUUUGUUUAUUUUUGAUCAUAUCAGGGGAUCUUCAACUAUAUAAUAUUGUGACUUCCCUGGUAACGGGCACCCUUCUUUACUUCUGUGUGCUAACCUAAUCUUCUCUAGGGGAAGUGAUCAAUUAACCUAUAGUGUGUGAUAAACGAAUUGCUUUCAGCCAAAUCAUCAAUUGGCACUCCAAAGAUUCCCAUUCUUUUUUUCUUCUUGUUGUUUCAUAUUAAGACCAUGCAGAAAUAAAAUAACAAAAGCAUAUUCUAAGAUAUAUAAGUUUAUGUGGCUAUUCCAAGAGAAUCUUUAAAAAGGAAAUUACACAAAUUUUACUAAUUGCUAUAAAAUUUUAUCUCAUAUUGGAUAUAUUAAAAGACUGUACAAUCUUGACCGUAAACAUUGAAAUCCACUGUUUUUAUCAACAGAGGACUGAUUUGGGGGACUGUUUCAUUUUAAAGAUAGCUCCAUCAGUUUUAGAAAUUUCCUCUUUAAACAUAUUUAACUCAAAUUUGGUGGGUUAAAUAAAAUUUGAAAUAGAUAUAGGAACAUAAUUAGUACUAUGAUUCACUGUCCUUUAAUAUCCCUUAAGUAGCUCAUGAAGAUAAGCACACUUGAGAGUCAGAGGGACAGAGUCUGAAUGACGGUCCUCUGCUGCUGUGAAGAUCCCCACCGACCUACUGUCUUGUGCUGCAGGUCAGCAGGGCUGUGUUGCUGAGCAGGCCUUGGAGAGAACUUCUUCAUUCCCUUUCCUAGCUUCUGGUGAAGCUGGGUCCUUCAACAAGACUUAGGAAAGCCAACUUAAACUAAGAGGACCCAACAAAUCUCAUUAGCUCGUUGCCUGAAAAAACCUGAGUGAAUUCAUUGGGUCUGGGUGUGAGAUCCAAGGAGGAUAUCUGGAAUGAAUAAAUGGAGCAGGAAACCGGGAGAAUUGGAUGGAGUUCUUCACUCAGACUGAUGGGUGCCUUUCUCGCAGCUUCUCCUAGUUGUCUGAUGAACAACAGAGAGUAAAUGUGAUUUCCUCUGGCACCCACAGGGCAGCAGCAGCUGCUGGGGUUCCUGAUUGUGUAAUUUGGAGGCUGAAUUUUGGCACCUGUGCCUGGAAUAUUCCCUCCUGUCUGUUUCUGCAGCCCUCCCCACACUCCUGUGAUACCUCCUUUUCCUCCAUGAUCCACCAGAGUCGGCCAAUCACUUGAAAGACCCAUUGUUUUAGGGCUGUUAUUUGACUGAGUAGUAAAUAAUCAACAAAAGAGUGACCAAAAAAUAGGAUAUCACUUUAUCUAGUCAUGAAAGGCCAAAUUUAAAUAGCUGUUUCCGGUUAGACCAGAGUCUUCUCUUCCAUGCCAUCUCUGUAUGCCACAGACUGAUGCCAAAGACCAAAAGAAAAUGAAAACAUUAAUUAUUUUUAUGUCUUCCUAUUGUUGACUGUAAUGAUUUUUCCAUUUGAAGUAAAAUCUUCUUGUUAGUCUAGUGACUAUUACUGGAUGUUUUAAUAACCUGUGCCAACACCUUACAAAUCAUAUUUUGGAACAAGUUUCUAGGCUUCAUUUAUAUUUCCAGUGAUGGGAAUUUGUAAUCAAGGUAUAGGGUGUGUGAAGUUGACAAAUGGCACUCUCUCAGGCAAACAAAAUCUGUUUAAUUAAUUGUAUAUUUUUUCCAUUCUUUUACAUUCAUAAGCUGAACAUGUACUUCACAGGCUUAUAAUUUAUUCCUUUGAAAAAUGAGCACAUCUAGCAUAGUACAGAAACCAGGGCUGUUUUUAUGAAUAAAUGUGCAUUUUCUUGAA